rnacentral:rRNA from 1 species
AUUGAACGCUGGCGGUAGGCCUAACACAUGCAAGUCGAACGCGAAAGUCCUUCGGAUGAGUAGAGUGGCGGACGGGUGAGUAACGCGUAGGAAUCUGUCCUGUAGUGGGGGAGUAACGUUUCGAAAGGAACGCUAAUACCGCAUACGCCCUACGGGGAAAGGACGGGGAGUCUUCGGACCUCGUGCUAUAGGAGGAGCCUGCGUCGGAUUAGCUAGUUGGUGAGGUAAAGGACUCACCAAGGCGACGAUCCGUAGCUGGUCUGAGAGGAUGAUCAGCCACACCGGAACUGAGACACGGUCCGGACUCCUACGGGAGGCAGCAGUGGGGAAUAUUGCGCAAUGGGCGAAAGCCUGACGCAGCCAUUACCGCGUGUGUGAAGAAGGCCU